rnacentral:rRNA from 1 species
UACCUGCAGCUCAAGUGGUGGCCACUAUUAUUGGGCCUAAAACGUCCGUAGCCGGUUUAGUUAAUGCCUGGGUAAAUUGUGUAGCUCUACUAUACGAAUACCGGGUAGACUGCUAAACUUGGGACCGGGAGAGGCUAGAGGUACUCCUGGGGUAGAGGUGAAAUUCUGUAAUCCUAGGGGGACCACCAGUGGCGAAGGCGUCUAGCCAGAACGGGUUCGACGGUGAGGGACGAAGCCCUGGGGCGCAAACCGGAUUAGAUACCCGGGUAGUCCAGGGUGUAAACGCUGCUCGCUUGAUGUUAGUCGGGCUCCGAGCCCAACUAGUGUCGGAGAGAAGUUGUUAAGCGAGCUGCCUGGGAAGUACGGUCGCAAGGCUGAAACUUAAAGGAAUUGGCGGGGAGCACAGCAACGGGUGGAGCGUGCGGUUU